rnacentral:rRNA from 1 species
UACGUAGGGACCAAGCGUUGUCCGGAUUUAUUGGGCGUAAAGAGCGUGUAGGCGGCCAGGUAGGUCAGCUGUGAAAACUCGAGGCUCAACCUCGAGACGUCGGUUGAAACCAUCUGGCUAGAGUCCGGAAGAGGAGAGUGGAAUUCCUGGUGUAGCGGUGAAAUGCGCAGAUAUCAGGAAGAACACCCGUGGCGAAGGCGGCUCUCUGGGACGGUACUGACGCUGAGGCACGAAAGCGUGGGGAGCAAACAGG